AUAUUUGUUAGGGUAAAUUCCAUAGUUAAAAAACAAAAUGAAAUUGAAGUUGCAGAUUGCCACCAGGGUCUAGCACAAGUGGUUGUUCUGCAGUGUUUCUGUGUUUGUGAGUAUUGUAAACCCCGGCGUACUGAGUUCGAUUCUCGCCUGUUACACUUGGGAUCAGGCAAGCCAUUUACACAGAGGUGGGUCACAAUAAAUCUUGAUGAUGAUCGCAUCAAAUCCUAUUGAACACAUUUCUAAAUUUUGUGAGCGUUUUAUGGAAAGUAUUAGCAUUGAAGUUCCUUGUUCUCUAAGAUUUUAUCCAGUGGGCUUUUAAAAUAGACAGGUCUAACGGCUUUGCAAAGGUUGUGUUCGCGAGUCAGGUACGUGGCCCGGUUCCUUAGAAACAAAACCCCUAAAUAACCAUUUAAAACAAAUAAUUUAUUUUAGUUUUCAGCAAUUAUGU
rnacentral:lncRNA from 1 species